UCGGGAGUAGCUCAGCCGGAAGAGCAGCAGGUUCUGACCCUGCAGGUCGUCCGUUCGAACCGGACCUCCCGAA
rnacentral:tRNA from 1 species